UCGAGAGAAGGGCCAGGGAACUCUUUCCCUCUCAUAAACCCUAAGUCACUAAAAUUCCAUCAAUUAAAGGUGAAAUUAGCAAGGAAUCGAAUUCAUGAGCUAGGAAUUUUGAUGUACUAAGUGUUCUUAACCCCAAGUGCUUGAUGAAAUGCUUAGGAUAUGCGUCGUAUUAGCAAGGGAUCAAGCAUGGAAAGCUAACGGGUCAAGAGGAGACAAGGAAGUGAAUGCGAAAACGGACGCUCAAGGUAAGUGAUUCCGUAAUCACUUCUUAGUUUGUUUAAGUAAUGUAGCAUUUUAAUUAAUUAAACAUGAUGUUUAAUGUCAAAUAUGGAUUUAGUUGAAUGAAAUUGGUGAAUUUUUCUAAGUAGACCAAACGGGUCAAAAUGAGGUCUUAUGAUUAUAUCGAAAAGUUGUAUAAGAAAUGGCUACGGUAGUAUAAACGGUUAAUGGGUAGAAUUGCACAUAAGUACGCAAUCCGGGAAUCGGAGAUGUGGUUUAAUAGUCAAAAGACUCAGAUGUGAGUUGGUUUAAUAGAUAUUUAUUUGCGCAAGUGGAGGUUUUAGUAGCAAGUUUGAUACGUAGGU
rnacentral:lncRNA from 1 species